rnacentral:rRNA from 1 species
GUCGUUGGCCAUGCUACCUUGAAUAAGCCUGAUCCCGUCUGACCUGCGAAACUAAGCAAGGUUGGGCCUGGUUAGUACGUGGAUGGGAGACCACCUAGGAAGACCAGAUGCUGAAGGCG